CUGAAAGCAAGUACUGGUCUC
rnacentral:tRNA from 1 species